rnacentral:rRNA from 1 species
CUGGCGGCAGGCUUAACACAUGCAAGUCGAACGAUGAAGUCUAGCUUGCUAGACGGAUUAGUGGCGAACGGGUGAGUAAUGCUUAGGAAUCUGCCUAUUAGUGGGGGAUAACGUAGGGAAACUUACGCUAAUACCGCAUACGACCUACGGGUGAAAGGGGGCUUUUAGCUCUCGCUAAUAGAUGAGCCUAAGUCGGAUUAGCUAGUUGGUGGGGUAAAGGCCUACCAAGGCGACGAUCUGUAGCUGGUCUGAGAGGAUGAUCAGCCACACUGGGACUGAGACACGGCCCAGACUCCUACGGGAGGCAGCAGUGGGGAAUAUUGGACAAUGGGCGAAAGCCUGAUCCAGCCAUGCCGCGUGUGUGAAGAAGGCCUUUUGGUUGUAAAGCACUUUAAGUGGGGAGGAAAAGCUUAUGGUUAAUACCCAUAAGCCCUGACGUUACCCACAGAAUAAGCACCGGCUAACUCUGUGCCAGCAGCCGCGGUAAUACAGAGGGUGCAAGCGUUAAUCGGAAUUACUGGGCGUAAAGCGCGCGUAGGUGGUUAUUUAAGUCAGAUGUGAAAGCCCCGGG